UAGAACAUAUCUGACUCACAGGCCAAGGACACAUAUGGUUGAAAAUAGCUGACCACUUGUGGAAGAUCAGGAUGCCUGUUUUGUGUUAUGAAAAACUUCCCAGGUAGGGAGGGAGGGCUACAUUAUUAGACAGAGGACUUGCCAUUCCAGGCUUGUCCUCCUGUGAGUGAGGCUGUGGCUAACACAGGCAGUUCCACAACUUGACAGCAUAGGUGUCUUCAGAAGCUGUGUGACAGUGGGUGGUGCCUUACUUUAUGCCAUCUCAUGUACAUGUCAUCCCAUUGACCACAUCCUGCCCCAUUUGCACUCUCUGCAGUGGAAGAGCCCUCCUGCAAAAAGGAGGAAGGGGACUCAGCAUCUGCAGAGCAGGCCGAGGCUAUACCCAGGGUGUGUGGAGAUCCACCCCCACUGGAAGGGCCAGAUGCCAUCGUGCCUAUCCUCAAGGAAGAUGGAUCCUACCUGCUCUGUGGAUAUUGGGCUGAUGAGCCUGAAGCACCAGUCCAGGCCUGGGCUGGGGCCUGGCACUUUACAACCCAGCAGCCCAUCUGCAGUGCUGAGGACACUUUGGUGGAAGAGCCCUCAUUUCAAGAGGAGGAAGGUGUGGUGGCACCUGCAGACCAGGCCGAGGCUAAUCAGAGCCUCUGCUCUGCAUCACACCUCGGGUGUGUGAAGAUCCACCCCCACUGGAAGGGCCAGAUGUCAUUGUGCCUAUUCUCAAGGAUGAUGGGUCCUACAUGCUCUGUGCAGUUUGGAUGGAUGAUC